rnacentral:rRNA from 1 species
AGAGUUCGAUCCUGGCUCAGGAUGAACGCUGGCGGCGUGCCUAACACAUGCAAGUCGAACGGGAUGCGUAUUGGAAAGCUUCGGCCGGAAGAUACGUUAUCUAGUGGCGGACGGGUGAGUAACACGUGGGUAACCUGCCUUAUGGAGGGGGAUAACAGAGAGAAAUCACUGCUAAUACCGCAUAAGCACACAGUACCGCAUGGUACAGGGUGAAAAGAUUUAUCGCCAUAAGAUGGACCCGCGUCUGAUUAGCCAGUUGGCAGGGUAAAAGCCUACCAAAGCAACGAUCAGUAGCCGAUCUGAGAGGAUGACCGGCCACAUUGGGACUGAGACACGGCCCAAACUCCUACGGGAGGCAGCAGUGGGGAAUAUUGCACAAUGGGGGAAACCCUGAUGCAGCGACGCCGCGUGAGUGAAGAAGUAUUUCGGUAUGUAAAGCUCUAUCAGCAGGGAAGAUGAUGACGGUACCUGACUAAGAAGCCCCGGCUAACUACGUGCCAGCAGCCGCGGUAAUACGUAGGGGGCAAGCGUUAUCCGGAUUUACUGGGUGUAAAGGGAGCGUAGACGGAAUGGCAAGUCUGAAGUGAAAUACCCGGGCUCAACCUGGGAACUGCUUUGGAAACUGUUGUUCUAGAGUGUUGGAGAGGUAAGUGGAAUUCCUGGUGUAGCGGUGAAAUGCGUAGAUAUCAGGAAGAACACCGGAGGCGAAGGCGGCUUACUGGACAAUAACUGACGUUGAGGCUCGAAAGCGUGGGGAUCAAACAGGAUUAGAUACCCUGGUAGUCCACGCUGUAAACGAUGAAUACUAGGUGUCGGGGUGCAAAGCAUCUCGGUGCCGUCGCAAACGCAAUAAGUAUUCCACCUGGGGAGUACGUUCGCAAGAAUGAAACUCAAAGGAAUUGACGGGGACCCGCACAAGCGGUGGAGCAUGUGGUUUAAUUCGA